rnacentral:rRNA from 1 species
CCCUUAGAUGUUCUGGGCCGCACGCGUGCUACACUGAGUGGAUCAGCGGGUCAGGUUGCGCGAAAGCGUUUCCUAAUCUUUAAAUCCGCUCGUGAUGGGGAUUGACGGUUGCAAUUUUCUGUCAUGAACGAGGAAUACCUUGUAAGCGCGGGUCAUCAUCCCGCGCUGAAUACGUCCCUGCCCUUUGUACACACCGCCCGUCGCUCCUACCGAUUGAGUGGUCCGGUGAGGCUUUGGGAUCUGAGCGGAAAGAGCGUUUCGCUGUUUCUGCUCGGAAAACUCAGUCGAACCUUAUCAUUUAGAGGAAGUAGAAGUCGUAACA